rnacentral:rRNA from 1 species
UUAAUGGAGAGUUUGAUCCUGGCUCAGGACGAACGCUGGCGGCGUGCCUAAUACAUGCAAGUCGAGCGGGGUUAGUUAGAAGCUUGCUUCUAACUAACCUAGCGGCGGACGGGUGAGUAACACGUAGGCAACCUGCCCACAAGACAGGGAUAACUACCGGAAACGGUAGCU